UACGGGGGGAGCAAGCGUUGUUCGGAUUUACUGGGCGUAAAGCGCACGUAGGCGGACAUUUAAGUCAGGGGUGAAAUCCCAGAGCUCAACUCUGGAACUGCCUUUGAUACUGGGUGUCUUGAGUAUGGAAGAGGUGAGUGGAAUUCCGAGUGUAGAGGUGAAAUUCGUAGAUAUUCGGAGGAACACCAGUGGCGAAGGCGGCUCACUGGUCCAUUACUGACGCUGAGGUGCGAAAGCGUGGGGGAGCAAACAGG
rnacentral:rRNA from 1 species